UACGAAGGGGGCUAGCGUUGCUCGGAAUCACUGGGCGUAAAGGGUGCGUAGGCGGAUCUUUAAGUCAGAGGUGAAAUCCUGGAGCUCAACUCCAGAACUGCCUUUGAUACUGAAGAUCUUGAGUUCGGGAGAGGUGAGUGGAACUGCGAGUGUAGAGGUGAAAUUCGUAGAUAUUCGCAAGAACACCAGUGGCGAAGGCGGCUCACUGGCCCGAUACUGACGCUGAGGCACGAAAGCGUGGGGAGCAAACAGG
rnacentral:rRNA from 1 species